rnacentral:rRNA from 1 species
UACGUAGGGCUGCAAGCGUUAUCCGGAAUUAUUGGGCGUAAAGAGCUCGUAGGCGGUUUGUCGCGUCUGCUGUGAAAACUCGGGGCUUAACUCCGGGGCCUGCAGUGGGUACGGGCAGACUAGGAGUGCGGUAGGGGAGACUGGAAUUCCUGGUGUAGCGGUGAAAUGCGUAGAUAUCUGGAGGAAUACCGGUGGCGAAGGCGGCAUCCUGGACCGGCAUUGACGCUGAUGAGCGAAAGCUAGGGGAGCAAACGGG